GGCGCUAUAGUGUAGUGGUUAUCACUUGGGAUUCUGACCACCGGAGACAGUCGCUGACCACCGCACAACAUGGUUCUCCUUCCCAAAACCCAGGUUCGAGCCCUGGUAGCGCCU